AUUAAUAAUGUACUUCAGUUUACAGAAUAUCAUGCUUACACGAUUUUUGCUACAUCCAUUCUACUCUCUAUUCUUCCUUCUGCCUAUUUAUUCUACUCUCCAUUCCUCCUUCUCCCAAUUUAUUCCACUCUUCAUUCCUCCAUCUCCCUAUACAUUCUACUCUCCAUUCUUCCUUCUCCCUUUCGGUCAUACUUCAUACUCCCUUCUUUCUGUCCGUCCUGUGUUUCCCUGUAUUCCCUGUUCACCAAUAAUUUGUAUAGAUUUCCGUUUAUUCUUUGUUCAGUCCCUGGGUAGUUUUGCUGAUACUUCCAACAGUAGGAAGAUCUAUCUAACAGUAGGAAAAUACUUUUAGCAGUAGGAAGUAAAACAAGAAGAUAUAUCUAACAGUAGGAAAAUACUUUUAGCAGUAGGAAGUAAAACAAGAAGAUGCUUCUAACAGUAGGAAAUACUUUUAGCAGUAGGAAAUACUUUUAGCAGUAGGAAGUAAAACAAAAAGAUCUAUCUAACAGUAGGAAAAUACUUUUAGCAGUAGGAAGUAAAACAAGAAGAUACAUCUGACAGUAGGAAAAUAAUUUUAGCAGUAGGAAGUAAAACAAGAAGAUACAUCUGACAGUAGGAAAAUAAUUUUAGCAGUAGGAAGUAAAACAAGAAGAUACAUCUAACAGUAGGAAAAUACUUUUAGCAGUAGGAAGUAAAACAAGAAGAUAUAUCUACCGGAGAUUUCAGUGGUUUAACUGGAGCUCCUGAAGUGUUGGGAAAAUGGAUGAUUUAGUCCGGAUAUGUGCUACUUAUGAAGAUUAUUUGGAUACACAGUUAAAUCAAGAAGAUCUAUUCUAUCUUCAGGAUGUUGAGAGUGCCAGAUUAAUUCUGCUUCUAGGAUACAGAUCAAGCAUUCUUACAAUUUCUAGGGAAGAAUUCAUGAUGCAGAAAAGAUUAAUUUCUGGAGAAUUGAGAAAUUCCUCUGUAGAAAAGGA